rnacentral:lncRNA from 1 species
UAAUUCAAGCAGGAAUUGACAGAGAAUAAUGUCCGGUUCGGGCUCCAUUAGCAACCUUAACUAAUUAUGCAUAUCUAUUAAUUUGCACAAAAUACAGUAUUACCAUUUAUUCGAACUUUAAUUCCAUGAUAGAAAAUAGGGUGAGAGGUCCUUACUUGAUUCGACACUGAAAACUAUAUUGUUACUGCGCCUAUGGUACCUACACAUGUCCCAAAUAACCCAAAAAUCAGACCCAGGGCCUACUU